CAGAUGUUUUUAAAACAACAACAACAAUAUGCCCUGAAUAGUAGAGAAACAGAAGAGCGAUUGAUCUACAAAGGCAAGACUCAGAUUGAGACCACAGCGAACCUGCAAAAUAGAGGAGCCCCUGGGUGGGAGAGGAUAUAGUUGAAACUCUGGGAAUGUAACAUGCAUGGUGUGCUCAUCUGACAGACAGGGCAGUUUAGGGGAAUGAGUCUCUGCAGCGUUGUAGUGAAGAGAGGAUACAGGACGACUGUAGAACCACAGCUCAGCCAAGAGCUCCCUUGCAGCUGAGUUGGCCAUAUGACUGACAGCAAGCCCUGGAAUGCAGCCAGAAGUGAUAGAAGCCUCAUUCACACCACACUCCUAAAAUAUUCCAAGAAAUUUCCCAAACCCACUCUCUUUAGUCCAUGCAUCUGGAAGUGAAAAUUUUAGAAAGGGUAAAGUCACUUAAUGGAAGGGGCCCAGGUCUAGCCCCUUGGAGUCAAGCUGUCCAACUAGAAAUUCUGCAUUAACAUUUGUGGGUCGCAAACAGUCUGUCAUGGAGUUUAGAUUGUGAGUCUCCCUGCUAGAAGAUGGGUCACACUUGGAAGAGUGCUUUAUAUUCUCCAUGCCACUGCCAAAUGAUCCUAGAGGUUAACAGAAAACAGCAAUGGGGCUUCCAAAGACAAGGACUGAAUUACAUACUUGGUAAGACUAGGAAUGAUGAGAACGUUGUAUUCUUCAAACAAAGUAACAGCCAGACAGAUAGGCAAAAGAACAAAGAAUCUGACCUCCAAGUAAUCCUUAAUUAUAACUCUGCAACCUAAAAGGACAAGACUAUAAAGUGGGUCAAUAAGAAAUGCAUGAAUUAUGUAAGUAAAGAAAACUGAAACAUAUCUCCAGGCAUAAAGCAAGCUAGCUAUAAUUUGCUACUAUAAAAUUCAAGAAUUUUGCACCCUAGCUUAUGCCAUUAAUGCAUAAAGAUACCAAAGCCUUCAAUAUAAAAUGAUACUAGAAGCUGUAAUUUAAUUAAGGCCGAGGUACUAAGUUAUU